rnacentral:rRNA from 1 species
GAUGAACGCUGGCGGCGUGCUUAACACAUGCAAGUCGAACGGUGAAGGCGGAGCUUGCUCUGCUGGAUCAGUGGCGAACGGGUGAGUAACACGUGAGCAAUCUGCCCCUGACUCUGGGAUAAGCGCUGGAAACGGCGUCUAAUACUGGAUACGAGCUGCGAAGGCAUCUUCAGCAGCUGGAAAGAAUUUCGGUCAGGGAUGAGCUCGCGGCCUAUCAGCUUGUUGGUGAGGUAAUGGCUCACCAAGGCGUCGACGGGUAGCCGGCCUGAGAGGGUGACCGGCCACACUGGGACUGAGACACGGCCCAGACUCCUACGGGAGGCAGCAGUGGGGAAUAUUGCACAAUAGGCGAAAGCCUGAUGCAGCAACGCCGCGUGAGGGACGACGGCCUUCGGGUUGUAAACCUCUUUUAGCAGGGAAGAAGCGAAAGUGACGGUACCUGCAGAAAAAGCGCCGGCUAACUACGUG